UACGUAGGGUGCAAGCGUUAAUCGGAAUUACUGGGCGUAAAGCGUGCGCAGGCGGUUCUAUAAGACAGAUGUGAAAUCCCCGGGCUCAACCUGGGAACUGCAUUUGUGACUGUAGAGCUGGAGUGCGGCAGAGGGGGAUGGGAAUUCCGCGUGUAGCAGUGAAAUGCGUAGAUAUGCGGAGGAACACCGAUGGCGAAGGCAAUCCCCUGGGCCUGCACUGACGCUCAUGCACGAAAGCGUGGGGAGCAAACAGG
rnacentral:rRNA from 1 species